rnacentral:rRNA from 1 species
AAGGCCUUCGGGUCGUAAAGCCCUGUCGGGAGGGACGAAACCUCGGCGACCUAAUAUGUCGUCGACCUGACGGUACCUCCGAAGGAAGCACCGGCUAACUCCGUGC